CCAAAUUGGGGCCCACAAGCAAAUUGACCUGCAGGACUUUGAAAAUGUAAGUUAGAAACCCUAUUAUUUUGAUUUACAAGAGGCGCAGCAGACGGCCAAACAUUUCCUCCCAACAAACUAUCUAGCGGCGCCAUCGAAGCAAACCCAUGAUGCUGACCAAAUACCUACGAAGGAACCGACGCACCAUGACCACGACGAUCCACCAGAUUCGACGCUCGAGCAUUCGAUGACGAGCCAUCAUACUCACGGUUAAAGCGAAAGAAACACCUCUGGGCUAAGUGACCAAACCGCCUACAUAUUUGACAUUGUAUGUGGGUUUGAAACCCUCGACCGUGGCCUCCAGACGAAAACUGACCACCACAAAUAGAGCUCUCCAGAGGCGGUGACAGAAUGGUCUCCAACAAAUUAGCAUGAAGCGUCACAUCUUGUAUGGCAUGCAUCUGACGACUCUCGUACUCAAGUAACAUCAACGAGUUUUUGAAGUGGCAAAGGCUCUGAUGAGAACAAGGCUAGGGUAAAAACGGCAUCAAACUCUGGAGUAAUGAAGAUCAUGACGAAGACGAGAGAGCUUCGUACCUGUAAUAGCAGCAAAGAGACGAGUGGCGGUAGUCCACACAUCACACGUCGUACUAGCCUCUAUAAAAGAAGACAAAAGUGAUGAAUUAAUCGUAGAGAGCAACCAAGAAGCCAGGAGUCGAUCUUGUUGAACAAAUGCCGAAGCAUCCGAAAAAUUCGAAACAAGCGAACCCUCCAAAGACGGCACAUAGCGCGGUAGAGCAGAUAAUGUUCCGUCCAGGAAACCAAUUAACUCAUAGCCUUCAACGAUCAACCUAACAUGCUGCUGCCAUUGAAUAAAAGUACCUUCUUCCAACUUGACAGUCUCGUGACGAGGAAAUGACUGUAUGAGCUGAGCAUUAGUGAACCCCUGACAUCUGUGUUCAACCGAGGCAGAAUCAGAAGUUGCGGUGGCCAUGAAAACAAACUAGGAAUAGGUCUCCAGCACCUUAGGCGACUGGUAUCAUUUUAACACCUACGGUAAGUUUGAAGCUAAUUGUAUUUAAUGAAAAAGUAGAAUGAAAUGUAUUUAGUAAACACUUCUCUGUACAUUUAUUUUCCUUUGUUUUACACUAUAGCAAAGGUAUUUAUAGAGUAUCUGAAUAACUGCUAUUGUUAACAACUUAACUGUUGUUAUUGUUAACAACCUAUACUCUUAACAACCGCCAAAUCAAAAUGGUUGAGCACGACAGUGAGCAGAGAAAGGGCUUGGCCCUUAGAAUUUGCAAUGUUCAUGGCUAUCGACUUCCCCCAAGAGAUUUUUUUAUGGAUUUUUGGGUUGGAAUUGUAAGAAAGGGGAUAGAGUUUGGCUUUUGAGGGGUAAAGGCUUUGGAAGUGGAGAAAAGAGAAGAGGAAGGAGACGAAUGAAAAAAAAGAGAAGGAAGAGAAAAGAAAGAAAAAGGAAAAACUCCAUAGUUUAAGGAUGACUAUUUAUUUAAACCUAAAUUAAGCUAGAUUAUAUGUAGAUAAGAGAAAAAAUUGUUUAUUGAAUGUAAUAUAGAUGAAAUGGUUAUAAAUCCUGAAUUUGAUUGUUGGUUGCUCA